rnacentral:ncRNA from 2 species
UGUUGGACUCCAGUAUCGUUGCUCGGGUCGUUGUUGGAUCUAUUGAAAAGUAAACAACGAACCGAGGAAUUUUACUGGCACUCAAAAACAA